ACUCGCCCCGCCAACGGCCCUGCCCGCGCAGCCCGGGCCCGGUCCUGCGAAUCGGGGUCCGCUCCCCCGCCCUCCGCGCCCCCGCCCGCGCCCGCGCCGAGCGCCCGAAGCGCGGGAGCCGCGCGCGCCCUGCGGGACGCACCAUCCCGCCCCGGCCACCGAGGGGGAGCGCCGAGGAGCCGCCCGGCCUCCAGUGACGCCCCGCGCCUCUGCCGCCAGCCACGGCUCCGGGGUAGCUGGCGCCGGCAGCCCGCUCUGGCCCUUGCGGUUCCGUGGCCGCCGCUCUGCAACGAGGGGGCCCCGAGGACGAGGGGAAACCAGCUCCCCCCUCGGCGGGGCCGGAGUGAGCCGGUCCCGGGGAGGAGGGGAGCUGGCAGGCCCCUCCCGUCGCCACAUGCGGCUGCUCGGGGGCGGCGCAUGCGCGCGGCGGAGGGGGGGGUGGGGCCUUGGGGCCGCGAGUGGGAGCGGGAGCGGUUCUGCGGCCUCCUCGGGCUUCUUGGCCCUGGGCGGAGUGGGAUUGGGUGUCCCGGCUGUUCGCAGUGGCCGCGAGUGCGGCCGGACCUGGAGUAGUACCUGAGCCGCUCUGGCCGAGCAAGGCGCGGGGCCCCGGUCUACACCGCGCUGGACCCGGCUAUGCCGUGACGGAAUUCCCGAGGCCGUAGCGCCACGCGAGACGCGCACUGGUGGCCUCCGCGGCGAGUCCUGGGGUCUCCGCAAGGCCUCAGUGCCCGAGCUGGGGACGUGCUGGGGGGAGGCCCGGCCCCGUCGCUGCCCGAGGCCCCGCUGUCCCGGCCGGACCGGCCUGGUCCCUGGCGUCCUGUCGGGUCCGCGCUGGAGGAGAGUCCCAGACAGCAGAGCCCGCGGUGCAGCUCCAGCCCCGGGAAGCCCCGCGCUCAACAGGUUAAUACUACACAGCGGCGAUUCUAAUGGUCACGCUUUUAUUUACAGCUCGCCUCCCUUCCGCCAAGAUUCACAGAACACGGCAGAGUGGCCUCGGGAUCACCUGCCCAAGACACCUGCACGACCGGAAGUUGGGAGAAGAAAUUAAGGCCAUGAUGAUGAACGCAGCCUUUCUCGUUUAUUUCCAAUCCCACAACAAACCGGAGUCCAGGAACUCAUGGGUGAUUAUCGGACUAUUACCUAGUCGUAAAACUGUGGAGCAUUGGUGUCUAAAGGAAUCUGAGACAGACCCGCAGUGUCUCCCCCACAUGCCUUAAGUCACUUCUGCCAAGCAGAAAAUCAUUUUUAAGUAAAUGUUAGUGAAAUUGGUUUUAAAAAAGAGAAGGGGCCGGGCGCGGUGGCUCACGCCUGUAAUCCUAUCCUUUAGGAGGCCGAGGUGGGCGGAUUGCCUGAGUUCAGGAGUUCGAGACCAGCCUGGGCGACACGGUGAAACCCCGUCCCUACUAAAAUACAAAAAAUUAGCCGGGCGUGGCGGCACGCGCCUGUAGUCCCAGCUACUCAGGAGGCUGAGGCAGGAGAAUGGCUUGAACUCGGGUGGGGGAGGUUGCAAUGAGCCGAGAUCGCGCCGCUGCACUCCAGCCUGGGCGACAGAGCGAGACUCUGUCUCUGAAAAAAAACAAAACAAAACGAGAAGGCUUUCAAAAUUACUCUGCGGUACACUAAUUUAACAGAUUAGAUCACUUUCCAGGCUUUAAGUUGGCCUUUGUUCUACCCUUUUUUUAGUGUAUGAUAAAAGUUGUGUUGGUUCGUUGAUCAGCAUGCAAUGAACUCUGGCUCUUGUUAAUCAGGUGACUACAGUUUUGUCCUUACAUUUGUAUGUAUGUCAUGAGUGGUUUUGUAUGGGCAGGAGGUAAACAACGCACAUUUAAAUAUACUUAAUGAUUUAUCAUUCCAAUGUUUUCUGGUUGUUUUAGUCUUUCAUUUGUCUCUUGAACAAUCUGAAACAUCCCUAUUCUAAGGCUAAAAAAUUUCCUUUACAAACUUAGGUUAAACAUUCCUAAUCUGAAAUCCAAAAUGCUCUAAAAUUCGAAUUUUUUUGAGUACUGACGUGACCCCACAAAUGGAAAAUUCCACACUUGCCCUCAUGUGACACUGGGUGACAGUCAAGUCACAAUCAAGCCUGGUGUGGUGGGCACCUGUAGUGCCAGCUACUCGGGAGGUUGAGCAGGAGGAUUGCUUGAGCCCAGGAGUUUGAGUCCAGCCUGGACGAUAUAGCCAGACCCUGUCUGUAAAAAAACAAAAACCAAAACAAAAAAAACAAUGAAAACAUUUUUUUUUAAAACGCCAUCAAAACUUUGUUUCAUGCACAAAAUUAUUUAAAAUAUAUAAUAUAACCUUACCUUCAGGCUAUGUGGGUAAGGUAAGGUGUAUGUGAAACAAAUGAAUUUCCCAUUUAGACUUGGGUCCCAUCCCCAAGAUAUCUUAUUAUGUAUAUGCAAAUAUUCCAAAUCAAAAAUAUCUGAAAUACUUUUGUCCCAAGCAUUUCAGAUAAAGGUUACUCAACCUGUAAUAAAAACACUCAGUGCUUGCCUGAAGGAAAAACCAAGAAUUUGUCAUCCAUCCUUAAAUUUUUAUGACACCCUUUGUAAUCAGGAAACCUUUUAAUACCUAAGAAUAUAUUUGAUAUAUUCUGGUAUAUGUUUAUCAUUCUGAUGUUUAAUGUUCUAUGUUGGGCAUAUAUCAGUGUAAUAAAUACAUUAGAUCCAAAUACAGAUCAUGCUGCCUUUUUAUCGACCUGUGUGAGAGAACUUAUUUAUCCUUUUCUUUUUCUUUCUUUUUUUUGAAACGGAGUCCCACUCUCACCCAGGCUGGAGUGCAAUGGCGUGGUCUCAGCUCACUACAACUUCCACCCCCUGGGUUCAAGCGAUUCUCCCACCUCAGCCUCCCAAGUAGCUGGGACUACAGGUGCGUGCCACCACACCUGGCUAAUUUUGGUAUUUUUAGUAGAGACAGGUUUUCACUAUGUUGGCCAGGCUGGUCUUGAACUCCUGACCUUGUGAUCCUUCUGCCUCGGCCUCCCAAAGUGCUGGGGUUAAAGGCGUGAGCCAUCACACCCGGCCCUCCCUUUGAUUUUCUUGGUUAAACACAAACUAAGCAUGUGAUUUUAUGUUAAAAGACCUGAAGUGGACCUCAACCAGGUAUUUUAUUUUGUGAAUUAAGAAAGCAAUUUGUAACGUUCAAGAGAACAAGCUUACCCUACUUCAGGUUCUGAUGGUAAGGCAAAUUGCGGGAUUAAGAAACCUGCUAUUUAAGGCCAGCGUGGUGGCUCACCCCUAUAAUCCCAGCACUUUGGGAGGCCAAGGCAGGCAGAUCACUGGAGGUCAGGAGUUCAACACCAGCCUGGCCAACAUGGUGAAAGCCAGUCUCUACUAAAAACAAAAAUUAGCUGGGCAUGGUGGCGUGCACCUGUAAUCCUACCUUCUUGGGAAGCUGAGGCAGGAGAAUCACUUGAACCCGGGAAGCAGAGGUUGCAGAGAGCAGAGAUCACACCACUGCACUCCAGCUUAGGUGGCAGAGUGAGACUCUAAAUAAAUAAAUAAAUCUGCUAUUUAAAACCCCAUCACCUAGUCAGUAUUUGUAAAAUAUCACACGUGAACUGUGCAAGGCGGUCCACACAAGUGGAUCUUACGGCAACAGCAUCAGGAAGGCCUGGAGGCAGUGUCACACUCACUCACUGAGUCUCCAAUACUACUGCUUGGCCAGUAAUGAAAAAUAAAAAUGUUUACAUUAGGUUAAUUUCAUGUGGAUAAAGGAUGCUCUGAGGCAGUCUAAAAAACUAGCAUCCUGACAUCAUGAAGAGUAACCCAUCUAGCAGAGGACGUAAAGAUGGCAAGUCAAUAUUUAAAGGCAAGCGGUAAACUCAGAAAUUAUCUUCCCCAAAAUGGCCAUAUGCAAAGUUAUAGGAACAAAAUAUCAUGUUGACAGUGCUGUAUCUUAUUCACAGUUAAAUAAAAUUCUUAUCACUGGUUUUGUGACACUUUAAGGAUGACCCAUUUUAGGGUGAUAGCUAUCAGUUUAUUAAACAGAAGCUAUGCAUUUGUUUAAUUUGAAGCAUAUACCACUUCCAAAUAUGACACUGAGCAUUAAUAUUUUUAGACUUCCCCCAGGUAAAUUAAAAGCAUGAUCAUUUUGUUGAUAAUCAGCCUUUGGAGAAUUAAACAGCCUGCUUACUGCCAGUGCUAGUUCAGUAAAUAUGUUUCUCAUUUUCUAUUUGGCAAAAUUAGAUAACCUAAGCCUAGGAAAAAUAAAAAAUUAGAAAAAAAAAAGUAGAUUUGGGGAUAUUUAACUCAAAUUGCCCUUACUGGUGGAAACUCGAGGCAGUUACUUAGAUUAUUUCCAAAUGGCUUUUUUUAAAUGUAUUUCUAUAUUGUAUACAACAGUCUCAGUCUUCAUCUCUCCUGUUCAGCUAUCCAUACAUCCCUUAAAAUUAGAUAUUUUUAAUGUUUAGUAAACCUUCAGUUUGGGUUUAUAGACAACAUUUAACCUUCUCAUGAAAGGGUCAGAAUACUCCAGUUGCAGGCACAAACAGGCCAUAGUUUAGUUGAAGGAGAAACUGCGAACUCAAAGGAGCACUGCUUCUCUGCAGGAAAGAUCCCGUCAGUGGACCUGCGGGGCACAGCUGCCACCAGUGUCAUGUAGCUAUUCAGUGUCGGAAAACUAGAAAUCACAAGUGAAGAGAAAUUGUAAAUUACCUCAAAUUCUAUGCCCAGAAGCAACCACUAUGGAAAUCCUUCUAGACAUUGUCCCGUAUAAAUAUAUUUCCCUAAAAAAAAUUAUACCCCAUACUCUGCCACUUCAAAAAAAUCAAGACUGUUUUUCCAUGUCAAUAAAUAUCUAUAUCAUUUAAUGAAUACAUAAUACUCCCUUGUUUGAAUGUACAAUAUUCUGUAUUGUUGCACAUUUGUUGUUUCCAAUUUAACAAUUACAGUACUCCAAUGAAGCAAUCAUCUUAAAAUACAUGUAUAA
rnacentral:lncRNA from 1 species